rnacentral:rRNA from 1 species
AAGGGCACCACAAGAACGCGUGGAGCAUGUGGCUUAAUUUGACUCAACGCGGGAAAUCUUACCGUGUCCGGACACACUGAGGAUUGACAGAUAUACGUACCAUACGAUACUUGCAUUGUUGGUACUGAAAGAUGCUAGUUCUUUCAUGAUUAUGUGAUAGGUGGUGCAUGGCCGUUCUUAGUUCGUGGAGUGAUCUGUCUGCUUAAUUGCGUAUCAUUAAAGAGACCUAGUAUAUGUGUAAGAUAUCGUUACGGUUCGUGACCCCCUUCGGGCGUGUGUCGCACGUACGUAUCAUACGCACUGGUCUCCGAUAGCAACGAACGUGACCGUACUCUAUUGUUGCAGCGAAUGUAUGCAUCUUCGGGUGUAUCUACCGCUGCUUAGCAUAUUUCAUGCCUCGGGCGUGUGUAUGCAUUAAACUAUAGAGACCGCUGUCUUUUCUUUAAACCAGAGGAAGGAUACGGCAAUAACAGGUCUGUGAUGCCCUCAGAUGUUCCGGGCUGCACACGUGCUACAAUGAUCAUUGCACUGUGCAUCUAACCCAAUGUGCGUGGACGCCACGGUGUUUUGCGCUUCGGCGUAUAUUCAUCAGUUGGUCGACCACGCCCGAACCUACUUCGAAAAAAAAANUUUUAAGUGGGUAAUCCAUUAAGAAGUAAUGACUCGCAUAGACCAUGGUACAAUUUAUAUGCACGCGCAUGUUCUACCCGGCCGUCCUUUGUGUCGGUGCAGUGCGUAGCUUGUUGUUUCGUACGUACCCUUCCGUAUUAAUUAAUACGUGGGGAUAGAUCAUUGUUUAAUUGUUGGUCUCGGUCUUAACUAGGAAUGCCUUGCACGGGUCUCUGGUUCAACAUACCACCCGGAAUACCUCCCUGCCCUUUGUACACACCGCCCGUCGCUGAUACUAUGAAUCUAUAGUACUGCCAAAAUUUUUGCACUUCNNUGCGCGCUUAGUGGAAAUAUAUAUGAAUAGUGUNNNNNNNNNNAGGAGAAGUCGAACAAGGCAAAGGGCGAAUUCGUUUAA